AUGCAGGUGAGACACACGGGGGGAGAGCACUCACAGUGAAUGUGACCUACACUGUGGACACGGCGGCCUCUGGGUGACAGCAGCUCGGGGACAGGUUUUUUUUUUGGUGUACGUUCAUAACUUCUGUUACCCGCACAGCUAGAAACUUUGCCUGGGAAUUUCUGUGGGCAAGAAUUUCAGUCAUUGUUUCUGGUCGUGUGUGUAAUGUGCAUCCCAGUACAAGCGGUGGAGCUGUGGAUGGAGGAGUCGUAUUCUUCUGGAGACUCGUGAGGAGGUCGAGGGGCGUUUUCAGACUUAAAUGAGUCUGAAGUGGAUGAGAGGCCAAACACUCUCUGCAGAACCUGACAUCUGGUAAACAAGCAGUGGGAAUUACAAGCUCCCAGUCCGCUGUUGGCAGGAUUUAUGUCUUAUCACUCUUUAAUAGCCUGCAUCAAGUAUCUACACUCGUACCGGGAAGCCAGUCUGGGUGAUUGAAAGUAGAACAUAGGUCCUGUCUGAUUUUGAAGGCGUUGCUCUCCCAGCAAGCAGCAGGAGCAGGAGCCACUAUUCUGGUUAUGGAGGUGCAGCUUCCAGUAAUUUGGUUGUGACAUAUACCAGCGAGGGCAUGGCAGUGAUGUUACCACAUGCAGCCGGAGCAUCAGUAUGUCAGGUAUGUUGGUGAACCAGCUCCACGCAGCCUAAGAUGGGUGUAACUCUGUACUUAUCUGGAGAGUGGAAUGAUUUAUUAAAAAGUGCGGACAAUAAAAAGGCUCCCUGCCUCUGACAGUAAACUGGUGGUACACGGAAACUGCUAAACUAAAAUGAGCACGUGAUUCAUUCUGAGAAGGAGGCCAAGGUAAAGACAAUCAAUCGACACAAGGGGAAAGUAUAUGAUGUGUAUUGUUGUAUAUGUGUAUUGUAUGGUUUUUUGGCUGAGUAUGAUUGUGUAUCUGCUCCUACAGAAAUAAACCUGUCACUCUAC